rnacentral:rRNA from 1 species
CCUACGGGAGGCAGUAGUGAGGAAUAUUGGUCAAUGGCCGAGAGGCUGAACCAGCCAAGUCGCGUGAGGGAAGAAUGUCCUAAGGAUUGUAAACCUCUUUUGUCGGGGAGCAAAACGGCUCUGCGGAGUCGUAUUGAGAGUACCCUAAGAACAAGCAUCGGCUAACUCCGUGCCAGCAGCCGCGGUAAUACGGAGGAUGCGAGCGUUAUCCGGAUUUAUUGGGUUUAAAGGGAGCGUAGGCCGGUCUUUAAGCGUGCCGUGAAAUUUUGUGGCUCAACCAUGAGAGUGCGGCGCGAACUGGAGACCUUGAGUGCGCGGAAGGCAGGCGGAAUUCGUGGUGUAGCGGUGAAAUGCUUAGAUAUCACGAAGAACCCCGAUUGCGAAGGCAGCCUGCCGCAGCGUUACUGACGCUGAAGCUCGAAAGCGCGGGUAUCGAACAGGAUUAGAUACCCCAGUAGUC